GUGAGGAAUUUUCCGCAAUGGGCGAAAGCCUGACGGAGCAAUGCCGCGUGAAGGAUGAAGGCCUAUGGGUUGUAAACUUCUUUUCUCAGAAAAGAAUUAUGACGGUAUCUGAGGAAUAAGCAUCGGCUAACUCUGUGCCAGCAGCCGCGGUAAGACAGUGGAUGCAAGCGUUAUCCGGAAUGAUUGGGCGUAAAGCGUCUGUAGGUUGUUUAAAAAGUAUUCUGUCAAAGAUUAGGGCUUAACCCUAGAUAGGCAGAAUAAACUUUUAAGCUAGAGUUUGGUAGAGGCAGAGGGAAUUCCCGGUGGAGCGGUGAAAUGCGUAGAUAUCGGGAGGAACACCAAAGGCGAAGGCACUCUGCUGGGCCAAUACUAACACUGAGAGACGAAAGCGAGGGGAGCAAAUGGGAUUAGAUACCCGUGUAGUCC
rnacentral:rRNA from 1 species